UAAAGUUGUGGGAUUGACAAAGCAUUAUUCUAAAGUUCUGAAAUUGGAUCUUUCUGAAAACUUUCAUAACAUUUUGGGCCACACUAUAGUUUUAUAAAGUUUUGGGGUCAAAUUAUAAAUUUGGAAAAAUAUUCACUGUAGCAGUUACUGUAGCAAGCGGAAAUCCGGAUUUUGACAAACGGAAGUCCGGAUUUUAGGCAGAAUCUAUCCGAAUUAAAAGCGGAAUUCCGGAUCCUGACAAAUGGAAAUCCGGUUAUUGGGCAGUAAGCUACUGAGCGUAAGCGGAAAUCCGGAUGUGAUAAAGCGGAAAUCUGGAUGUUCAGAAAUUCAAAUUUGUGGCUGUAACGGUAACAUUAAGCGAAAUUCCGGAUGUACAUAACCGGUAAUCCGGUUACGACCAAAAUGUGCAUAACGGCUAGUUUUUUGAGCUCAAACUAUAAGAACUCAAAUCCAACUCAUUUUCAAUCUCUCCAACAAGCAAAAACAAAAAGCACACGUGAUAUCUUGAGUCUUCUAUUUGUAAAACAUAAAUCAUUGAAUCAUUCAUUGUUCUUCAUCUUUAAAUAUCUACUCAUUGAGUGAGUUUUAUUGUAAUCUUCAUUUCUUCAUUUCAUUUGUAAGAAUUUGAGUGUGUGAGACACUUGAGUGAAGAGAUUGGGAGAUAAUCUCUUCGUUGUAAAGGUUUAUUGACACCUCGAAGUCAAUUGUAAUUGGUUGAAGCCUUGGAAAGGCUUGGAUAGUGAAAUCCUCAAGUUUGGAUUGCUUGAAGGCGUGGACGUAGGCGGGGAUUGCCGAACCACGUAAAAAUCCGUGUGUUUGUUUCUCUUCUCCCUUACUCUUUAAUUAUUGUGCCUUUAUUAAACUUAUUGCUUUCAAUUUUUAUUAAGGCAUUAGAUUGUUUGUUGUGUGGAUUUGCUAGGAUAUUUUUUAAAUUUCCAAUUCACCCCCCCCUCUUGGGUUGCACACUUAUACUUCAGUUGAGAGUGUUAAGGUUUGUUGAGAGUGAGUAUUGUAAGAGUGGCAUUAUUUGAAAAUUUGAUAAAAGUGGCGAGGGUAAUUUGGUCCAAAAAUUUAGCAUUUAGCUAAUUAUGAUAGAAAAAAGUUUGAGGGGUUAAAUUUGAAAAAUGUAAAAAUAUUAUGAUUAUUUUUGUAAAUUUUCCUUUUUCACUUCCCAGCAUCU
rnacentral:lncRNA from 1 species